ACAGGUACUUGUACCGGGUGGCGAGCGGCGGACGGGUGAGUAAUGCCUAGGAAUCUGCCUGGUAGUGGGGGAUAACGCUCGGAAACGGACGCUAAUACCGCAUACGUCCUACGGGAGAAAGCAGGGGACCUUCGGGCCUUGCGCUAUCAGAUGAGCCUAGGUCGGAUUAGCUAGUUGGUGGGGUAAUGGCUCACCAAGGCGACGAUCCGUAACUGGUCUGAGAGGAUGAUCAGUCACACUGGAACUGAGACACGGUCCAGACUCCUACGGGAGGCAGCAGUGGGGAAUAUUGGACAAUGGGCGAAAGCCUGAUCCAGCCAUGCCGCGUGUGUGAAGAAGGUCUUCAGAUUGUAAAGCACUUUAAGUUGGGAGGAAGGGCAGUUGCUUAAUACGUGACUGUUUUGACGUUACCGACAGAAUAAGCACCGGCUAACUCUGUGCCAGCAGCCGCGGUAAUACAGAGGGUGCAAGCGUUAAUCGGAAUUACUGGGCGUAAAGCGCGCGUAGGUGGUUUGUUAAGUUGAAUGUGAAAUCCCCGGGCUCAACCUGGGAACUGCAUGCAAAACUGGCGAGCUAGAGUAUGGUAGAGGGUGGUGGAA
rnacentral:rRNA from 1 species